GACGAACGCUGGCGGCGUGCCUAAUACAUGCAAGUCGAGCGGACCAAAGGGAGCUUGCUCCUGGAGGUUAGCGGCGAACGGGUGAGUAACACGUGGGCAACCUGCCUGUAAGACUGGGAUAACAUCGAGAAAUCGGUGCUAAUACCGGAUAAUAAAAAGAACUGCAUGGUUCUUUUUUGAAAGAUGGUUUCGGCUAUCACUUACAGAUGGGCCCGCGGCGCAUUAGCUAGUUGGUGAGGUAACGGCUCACCAAGGCGACGAUGCGUAGCCGUCCUGAGAGGGUGAUCGGCCACACUGGGACUGAGACACGGCCCAGACUCCUACGGGAGGCAGCAGUAGGGAAUCUUCCGCAAUGGACGAAAGUCUGACGGAGCAACGCCGCGUGAGUGAUGAAGGUUUUCGGAUCGUAAAACUCUGUUGUUAGGGAAGAACAAGUGCCGUUCGAAAGGGCGGCACCUUGACGGUACCUAACGAGAAAGCCACGGCUAACUACGUGCCAGCAGCCGCGGU
rnacentral:rRNA from 1 species